GUAUACAGAGGGUGCAAGCGUAAUCGGAUUUACUGGGCGUAAAGCGCGCGUAGGUGGCCAAUUAAGUCAAAUGUGAAAUCCCCGAGCUUAACUUGGGAAUUGCAUUCGAUACUGGUUGGCUAGAGUAUGGGAGAGGAUGGUAGAAUUCCAGGUGUAGCGGUGAAAUGCGUAGAGAUCUGGAGGAAUACCGAUGGCGAAGGCAGCCAUCUGGCCUAAUACUGACACUGAGGUGCGAAAGCAUGGGGAGCAAACAGGAUUAGAUACCCUGGUAGUCCAUGCCGUAAACGAUGUCUACUAGCCGUUGGGGCCUUUGAGGCUUUAGUGGCGCAGCUAACGCGAUAAGUAGGCCGCCUGGGGAGUACGGUCGCAAGACUAAAACUCAAAUGAAUUGACGGGGGCCCGCACAAGCGGUGGAGCAUGUGGUUAAAUUCGAUGCAACGCGAAGAACCUUACCUGGUCUUGACAUAGUAAGAACUUUCCAGAGAUGGAUUGGUGCCUUCGGGAACUUACAUACAGGUGCUGCAUGGCUGUCGUCAGCUCGUGUCGUGAGAUGUUGGGUUAAGUCCCGCAACGAGCGCAACCCUUUUCCUUAUUUGCCAGCGGG
rnacentral:rRNA from 1 species